AUUGAACGCUGGCGGCGUGCUUAACACAUGCAAGUCGAGCGAAGCAAUCUAAGUGAAGUUUUCGGAUGGAUCUUGGAUUGACUGAGCGGCGGACGGGUGAGUAACGCGUGGAUAACCUGCCUCACACAGGGGGAUAACAGUUAGAAAUGACUGCUAAUACCGCAUAAGCGCACGGCAUCGCAUGAUGCAGUGUGAAAAACUCCGGUGGUGUGAGAUGGAUCCGCGUCUGAUUAGGUAGUUGGUGGGGUAACGGCCCACCAAGCCGACGAUCAGUAGCCGACCUGAGAGGGUGACCGGCCACAUUGGGACUGAGACACGGCCCAAACUCCUACGGGAGGCAGCAGUGGGGAAUAUUGCACAAUGGGCGAAAGCCUGAUGCAGCGACGCCGCGUGAGUGAAGAAGUAUCUCGGUAUGUAAAGCUCUAUCAGCAGGGAAGAAAAUGACGGUACCUGACUAAGAAGCCCCGGCUAACUACGUGCCAGCCGCCGCCGUAA
rnacentral:rRNA from 1 species